UACGGAGGAUCCAAGCGUUAUCCGGUAUCGUUGGGGUUAAAGGGUCCGUAGGCGGGUGAAUAAGUCAGUGGUGAAAGGCUGCAGCUUAACUGUAGAAUUGCCAUUGAUACUGUUGACCUUGAGUAUUUAUGAAGUGGUUAGAAUAUGUAGUGUAGCGGUGAAAUGCAUAGAUAUUACAUAGAAUACCGAUUGCGAAGGCAGAUCACUAAUAAUUUACUGACGCUGAGGGACGGAAGCGUAGGUAGCGAACAGG
rnacentral:misc_RNA from 1 species